rnacentral:rRNA from 1 species
UAUUAGAAAGAAUACCAAUUGCGAAGGCAGCUUUCUGGAUCAUUACUGACACUGAGGAACGAAAGCAUGGGUAGCGAAGAGGAUUAGAUACCCUCGUAGUCCAUGCCGUAAACGAUGUGUGUUAGACGUUGGAAAUUUAUUUUCAGUGUCGCAGCGAAAGCGAUAAACACACCGCCUGGGGAGUACGACCGCAAGGUUAAAACUCAAAUGAAUUGACGGGGACCCGCACAAGUAGUGGAGCAUGUGGUUUAAUUCGAAGAUACGCGCAGAACCUUACCAACACUUGACAUGUUCGUCGCGACUCUAAGAGAUUAGAGUUUUCGGUUCGGCCGGACGAAACACAGGUGCUGCAUGGCUGUCGUCAGCUCGUGUCGUGAGAUGUUGGGUUAAGUCCCGCAACGAGCGCAACCCUCACUUUUAGUUGCCAUCAUUAAGUUGGGCACUCUGAAAGAACUGCCAGUGAUAAGCUGGAGGAAGGUGGGGAUGACGUCAAGUCCUCAUGGCCCUUACGUGUUGGGCUACACACGUGCUACAAUGGUAUCUACAACAGGAAGCAAGACUGCGAGGUCAAGCAAAUCCUUAAAAGAUACCUCAGUUCGGAUUGCACUCUGCAACUCGAGUGCAUGAAGCUGGAAUUACUAGUAAUCGUGGAUCAGCGUGCCACGGUGAAUGCGUUCCCGGGCCUUGUACACACCGCCCA